rnacentral:tRNA from 1 species
UCCCUGGGGGUCUAGUGGUUAGGACUUGGCAUUUUUAAUGAUGCAGCCUGGGUUCAAUCCCUGGUCUGGGAA